GACGAACGCUGGCGGCGUGCUUAACACAUGCAAGUCGAACGGAAAGGCCCUGCUUUUGUGGGGUGCUCGAGUGGCGAACGGGUGAGUAACACGUGAGUAACCUGCCCUUGACUUUGGGAUAACUUCAGGAAACUGGGGCUAAUACCGGAUAGGAGCUCCUGCUGCAUGGUGGGGGUUGGAAAGUUUCGGCGGUUGGGGAUGGACUCGCGGCUUAUCAGCUUGUUGGUGGGGUAGUGGCUUACCAAGGCUUUGACGGGUAGCCGGCCUGAGAGGGUGACCGGCCACAUUGGGACUGAGAUACGGCCCAGACGCCGACGGGAGGCAGCAGUGGGGAAUAUUGCACAAUGGGCGGAAGCCUGAUGCAGCAACGCCGCGUGCGGGAUGACGGCCUUCGGGUUGUAAACCGCUUUCGCCUGUGGCGAAGCGUGAGUGACGGUAAUGGGUAAAGAAGCACCGGCUAACUACGUG
rnacentral:rRNA from 1 species